UACGGAGGAUCCAAGCGUUAUCCGGAUUUAUUGGGUUUAAAGGGUGCGUAGGCGGCCUGUUAAGUCAGGGGUGAAAGACGGUAGCUUAACUAUCGCAGUGCCUUUGAUACUGACGGGCUUGAAUGCAGCUGAGGUAGGCGGAAUGUGACAAGUAGCGGUGAAAUGCAUAGAUAUGUCACAGAACACCGAUUGCGAAGGCAGCUUACUAAAGUGUGAUUGACGCUGAUGCACGAAAGCGUGGGGAUCAAACAGG
rnacentral:rRNA from 1 species